GACGGUUUCUUUGAUUAUUUUAUUUUGGUAUUUUAUUGCGAGCCCUGAUUCUCCUUCAUGCUCCGCGCUCAAGUUCGGCAAAGCUUUACUGCGAUUAUUCCGCUUCCGAAGUACUGGAAAGGAUGAGUGACUCCGCGUUUUUUCUCCCAGGCUCUUCACGAAAUCUCUGUGGGUAUGGCAGAAAACGAAAAGUGAUGCGGCACAGAGAUGGCGCUAGGACCCUUUGCAGGAGGGACGUGCACCACUCCCCCGCUGUCUCCACAAGAGCAUCUUCUCUCAAGAUCCAGGGUAUUUUGAGUGGUCCUCUCCUGCCAGCUAACUGACUGAGAAUGAGAAAAUACAGUCUUUGAGCGCUUGCAGGAGGAAUUGUGGGUUGCCAAAAGUGGAAGGAAAGAGGAUUUUGAGCAACAGAAGAAACUUAGGUUGGUAGGAGCUGCAGCAACGGUAAUCAUUGCCUCAGUAGCAAAGCAUAGCAAGGUGUUAACAGAAAUCAUUAAGAACCUGCAACCAGCAGGUCUGUUACCGCCAUGUGCCCUCCUGUUUGAGUCUCGGGCAGGAAGCCGCGACCAGCCAAAACUUUCACUAAAAGCAAAGGAAAGAUCAGACUCAAAGGAAAGCCAAACCCUCCACAUGCUGCUGUCUGUCGCUCAGAGAAAGAACCUCUGCAGAAACACCUUAUCAUUUGGAGAAACCAAUCACAGAUACAGAAGAAUCAAUGAUCUUCCUGCUUCUCUAUUCAAUGAGUAUUUGUUAAGUCUCAGUUCUAUUAAUGUGGAGAAAGAAAGUUUCCCUUUUAACAAAAAGAAGUGAGCCGCGAGAGCUAUAAAACUCACUAAAUGAAGAAAAAUUCAAUUAACUUGUUGUAGUAGGAUGAAGCUUGAAUCUCCAGAGUCAUAAGAAGGAGUUCUGAUGCCAUCAAUUUCCC